UACGAAGGGGGCUAGCGUUGUUCGGAAUUACGUGGCGUAAAGCGUGCGCAGGCGGCUAUCCAAGUCAGUGGUGAAAGCCCGGAGCUCAACUCCGGAAUUGCCAUUGAAACUGUUUAGCUCGAGUACGAGAGAGGUGAGUGGAAUUCCCAGUGUAGAGGUGAAAUUCGUAGAUAUUGGGAAGAACACCGGUGGCGAAGGCGGCUACACUGGCUCGUAACUGACGCUCAUGCACGACAGCGUGGGGAUCAAACAGG
rnacentral:rRNA from 1 species